UACGUAGGGGGCAAGCGUUGUCCGGAUUUAUUGGGCGUAAAGAGCGUGUAGGCGGCCAAACAGGUCCACUGUGAAAACUCGAGGCUCAACCUCGAGAGGUCGGUGGAAACCGUCUGGCUAGAGUCCGGAAGAGGAGAGUGGAAUUCCCGGUGUAGCGGUGAAAUGCGCAGAUAUCAGGAGGAACACCGGUGGCGAAGGCGGAUCUCUGGGCCUGUUCUGACGCUGAGGCGCGAAAGCUAGGGGAGCGAACAGG
rnacentral:rRNA from 1 species